AGGGUUCGAUUCUGGCUCAGGAUGAACGCUAGCGGCAGGCUUAACACAUGCAAGUAGAACGGUAACAGUCCUUCGGGAGCUGACGAGUUGCGAACGGGUGCGUAACGCGUAUGCAACCCACCCAUAACAGAGGGAUAGCCCAUAGAAAUGUGGAUUAAUACCUCAUAACAUCUAUAGAUGGCAUCAUCUUAAGAUUAAAACUCCGGUGGUUAUGGAUGGGCAUGCGUGACAUUAGCUAGUUGGUGAGGUAAUGGCUCACCAAGGCAACGAUGUCUAGGGGUUCUGAGAGGAUGAUCCCCCACACUGGUACUGAGACACGGACCAGACUCCUACGGGAGGCAGCAGUGAGGAAUAUUGCGCAAUGGAGGAAACUCUGACGCAGCCAUGCCGCGUGCAGGAUGACUGCCCUAUGGGUUGUAAACUGCUUUUAUAUAGGAAGAACUACAGAUACGUGUAUUUGUUUGACGGUACUAUACGAAUAAGGACCGGCUAACUCCGUGCCAGCAGCCGCGGUAAUAC
rnacentral:rRNA from 1 species